rnacentral:rRNA from 1 species
UACAGAGGUCCCAAGCGUUGUUCGGAUUCACUGGGCGUAAAGGGUGCGUAGGUGGCGGGGUAAGUCUGAUGUGAAAUCUCCAAGCUUAACUUGGAAAUGGCAUUGGAAACUACUCUGCUCGAGGGUUGGAGGGGGGACUGGAAUACGUUGGUGUAGCAGUGAAAUGCGUAGAUAUCAGGAGGAACACCGGUGGCGAAGGCGGAUCUCUGGGCCAUUACUGACGCUGGAGGAACGAAAGCUAGGGGAGCAAACAGG